CAGUCGCCGCGGUAAUACGUAGGUGGCAAGUGUUGUCCGGAAUUAUUGGGCGUAAAGGGCUCGCAGGCGGUUUCUUAAGUCUGAUGUGAAAGCCCCCGGCUCAACCGGGGAGGGUCAUUGGAAACUGGGAAACUUAAGUGCAGAAGAGGAGAGUGGAAUUCCACGUGUAGCGGUGAAAUGCGUAGAGAUGUGGAGGAACACCAGUGGCGAAGGCGACUCUCUGGUCUGUAACUGACGCUGAGGAGCGAAAGCGUGGGGAGCGAACAGGAUUAGAUACCCGCGUAGUCCCUGUCUCUUAUAC
rnacentral:rRNA from 1 species